AUGGGCUUUUCAGUGUUAAGCUGGUGUAAUCAUACAUUUUCUUUGCUUUCAGGCUUUGGUCCCUUCCGGCAACAUUUAGUUAACUCUAGCUGGGAAACUGCAAAGGAGCUAUUGAAACUUGGUCUUGGCAAUGAUGUAGAUCUACAUAUCAUAGAAUUGCCAGUGGUCUACCAAAAGGCAAAAGAGAUUGUUUGUAAAGCAUGGGCAACUCUUAAUCCCCAGGCCAUUUACCACUUGGACCUGGUGGUAAGGAGAUUAUUUUGCUUGCAUGUGCCUAUUCCUAAAAUCUGCUUUUUAUUAAAAGACAUCAAAUGGAAUUCAUUAGCAAACACUAGGAGUGAGGGAAAUUUUACAUUGGAGACAUUUUGCUCAUUCUGAAACAUGCAAGCCUACCCUUAAUUUAUGAUUAAUUAAUUUAGUGCAUUCUAAAUUAAAACAAAGUACCUUAGCUUCGUUCUUAAUGGACCUGCAAAUAUAAAUUGGGGGCACAUCCUUUCCCAUCACUUUCCCCUCUAACUGCAUCUACUCUUUGCAGCAAUGGAUAGAAUCGAACCAAAUAAAAAUCUUAGUCUCUCAAAAAAAUCGAUGCAUUUCACAUAAACACUUGUGCCAAAUAUAAAUAAACUUGAUUUGGAGACGCAAUUGAGUCAUGGGUUCAAAUGACAGGAAAAAAGAUUCCAGUUGAACAUUAGGAAGAAUUUCCUGACUGCAAGAAGACAUGUUCAGCUGUGGAACUCUCUGCCUCGAAUCUCCUUCCUUGGAGGCUUUUAAAUAGAGGCUGGAUGGCCAUCUGUUGGGGGUGCUUUGAUUGUGCUUUUCCUGCAUGGCAGAAAGAAGGGGGUUGGACUGGAUGAUCUAUGCAGUCUCUUCCAACUAUGAUUCUAUGAUGUUUUCUUCAGAUAUACACAGACAUAUACAUAAGCAUACAUACAUAUAAAUACAGUAGAAUCUCACUUAUCCAACAUAAACGGGCCGGCAGAAUGUUGGAUAAGCGAAUAUGUUGGAUAAUAAGGAGGCAUUAUGGAAAAGCUUAUUAAACAUCAAAUUAGUUUAUGAUUUUACAAAUGAAGCACCAAAACAUAAUGUUAGACAACAAAUUUGGCAGAAAAAGUAGUUCAAUACGCGGUAAUGCUAUGUAGUAAUUACUGUAUUUAUGAAUUUAGCACCAAAAUAUCACGAUAUAUUGAAAACAUUGGCUACAAAAAUGCGUUGGAUAAUCUAGAAUGUUGGAUAAGCGAGUGUUGGAUAAGUGAGACUCUACUGUAUACAUACAUAUGAUAUGCAUAGCCACACAGAGAAACAUACACACAAACUGUCAGGCUUAUGUACCCAUGGCAACAGGAUCUGCAGAAAUAUGAUUCAAUGUAUGGAAGGAAUUAUUUGUGUGUGGAUCCUUUUAAAAAGCAGUUUUAUAUGGUAAGAUUAACAGGCAAACAUCGUCAUUGUGUGAAAUUCGCAAAAAAAGAAUUGGUCUUUGGAGUUCUUCUUGCUUAAGGAAUUUUGUAUAUACAUCAACAGACAAUUCAGUGUUGGAUCAAGAAAAGAAAGUCCCAUUUCUGUCCUAUGCAGGGUAAAUAUGCAUAUGCAGGCAAGGGUUUUG
rnacentral:lncRNA from 1 species